CAGCAGCCGCGGUAAUACGGAGGGGGCUAGCGUUGUUCGGAAUUACUGGGCGUAAAGCGCACGUAGGCGGCUUGGUAAGUUAGAGGUGAAAGCCUGGAGCUCAACUCCAGAAUUGCCUUUAAGACUGCCGAGCUAGCAGGUGAGAGAGGUAAGUGGAAUUCCGAGUGUAGAGGUGAAAUUCGUAGAUAUUCGGAAGAACACCAGUGGCGAAGGCGGCUUACUGGCUCAUACUGGACGCUGAGGUGCGAAAGCGUGGGGAGCAAACAGGAUUAGAGACCCCUGUAGUCCCUGUCUCUUAUAU
rnacentral:rRNA from 1 species